GAAGUGUCGAAAGGCAAAACCUCUCUCACUGGGUGACCGGAGAGACGUCCGCUCAGGCGUGCGGCCGCGGAUGUCGCCGGCAGGAGCGGUGGGAGAGAUGUCUUGCUUAACUCUGUCGACCUCAGAUCAGACGAGA
rnacentral:rRNA from 1 species